GACGAACGCUGGCGGCGUGCCUAACACAUGCAAGUCGAACGGAACUGUUUUGAAAGAUUUCUUCGGAAUGAAUUUGAUUUAGUUUAGUGGCGGACGGGUGAGUAACGCGUGAGUAACCUGCCUUCAAGAGGGGGAUAACAUUCUGAAAAGAAUGCUAAUACCGCGUGAUAUAUCGGAACCACAUGGUUUUGAUAUCAAAGAUUUUAUCGCUUGAAGAUGGACUCGCGUCCGAUUAGUUAGUUGGUGAGGUAACGGCUCACCAAGACCGCGAUCGGUAGCCGGACUGAGAGGUUGAACGGCCACAUUGGGACUGAGACACGGCCCAGACUCCUACGGGAGGCAGCAGUGGGGGAUAUUGCGCAAUGGGGGCAACCCUGACGCAGCAACGCCGCGUGAAGGAUGAAGGUUUUCGGAUUGUAAACUUCUUUUAUUAAGGACGAAACUUGACGGUACUUAAUGAAUAAGCUCCGG
rnacentral:rRNA from 1 species